rnacentral:rRNA from 1 species
AUUGAACGCUGGCGGAAUGCUUUACACAUGCAAGUCGAACGGUAGAGGGGGCAACCCCUUGAGAGUGGCGAACGGGUGAGUAAUAUAUCGGAACGUGCCCAGUCGUGGGGAUAACGUAGCGAAAGUUACGCUAAUACCGCAUACGAUCUAAGGAUGAAAGCGGGGGAUCGCAAGACCUCGCGCGAUUGGAGCGGCCGAUAUCAGAUUAGGUAGUUGGUGAGGUAAAGGCUCACCAAGCCAACGAUCUGUAGCUGGUCUGAGAGGACGACCAGCCACACUGGAACUGAGACACGGCCCAGACUCCUACGGGAGGCAGCAGUGGGGAAUUUUGGACAAUGGGCGCAAGCCUGAUCCAGCAAUGCCGCGUGCAGGAUGAAGGCC